CAGUCGCGUUGGUUGGGAAUCAGUCUUGCUUCUGCAUGAUGUACUUUCCAGUCAAUGGGUCAGCAUCAAUUCCGGGCGCCGGAAAAGGAUUUGAGGAAUGUGACAGCUUGCUGUGUUAUAGCCUCUUGUCGUACACGGUGCUUGGGAUUGAGGACUGCAGCACGCCUUUUGGCAUUGGCUUCGGCCUUUCCGCGCUAAGGAUUCUGGCUUAAUGGCUUUAAGCGACCCGUCUUGAAACACGGACCAAGGAGUCUAACAUGUAGU
rnacentral:rRNA from 1 species